GGACGAACGCUGGCAGCGUGCCUAAUACAUGCAAGUCGAGCGGACCAAAGGGAGCUUGCUCCUGGAGGUUAGCGGCGAACGGGUGAGUAACACGUGGGCAACCUGCCUGUAAGACUGGGAUAACAUCGAGAAAUCGGUGCUAAUACCGGAUAAUAAAAAGAACUGCAUGGUUCUUUUUUGAAAGAUGGUUUCGGCUAUCACUUACAGAUGGGCCCGCGGCGCAUUAGCUAGUUGGUGAGGUAACGGCUCACCAAGGCGACGAUGCGUAGCCGACCUGAGAGGGUGAUCGGCCACACUGGGACUGAGACACGGCCCAGACUCCUACGGGAGGCAGCAGUAGGGAAUCUUCCGCAAUGGACGAAAGUCUGACGGAGCAACGCCGCGUGAGUGAUGAAGGUUUUCGGAUCGUAAAACUCUGUUGUUAGGGAAGAACAAGUGCCGUUCGAAAGGGCGGCACCUUGACGGUACCUAACGAGAAAGCCACGGCUAACUACGUG
rnacentral:rRNA from 1 species